CAGCGCGCUAGCGUAUCUAGUCUUCUGUAUGUAUCUGUGGUCUGCACGUCUGGUAGCAUCUCUGGCUGCUGUUGACCUUGUUUUUGGAGUAAAACACGGUGGAAGCUGAAUUAGUGAGGAUGACUCCUGCUCCUGUCAUCUCUAAGCUCCUCACACAUCUUUACCUGCACAUGAGGAAAAUCACUCCUGUAGAAUGCAGAUGUUCAGAGGGAGAUGAUGCCACAUCUGGUCCAGCUGAUGGAAGGUCUUGAAGUUCUCUGACUGGCCUCGACUGAAGAUGGUCGUCUCACUGGAUUUAAGGUUCAGAUGCUCAGUAACAAACUCCACCAAUGAGCCAACAGGGAAGCUUUAGGUUUAUUAAAUGUUGCUAUGAAGGUAUCGCUGUUUUUCUUUGUGAAUGCAAUGUGCUCCAACUGAAACUUGAAUUAGAACUUAGAAGUAAAUCCUUCCAUCUGAAAGGAUCUAGAUGUAUUAAUAACCUCAUAACAUUUUAAUUUUUAUUCCAGUCUUGGUUGGAAAUAGAAUCUCUGUAUUGAUUCAGGUAAAAACUGAACUUCACAGCAUGUUGGAGCAAAACAACCAGAUGAAAACUGUGAUGGUGUUGGAUUGUCAGACCGUAAUGUUGCAGCUCAAAGCAGCUUUUCUAUCUCAGUUCAUUCUGACAUUCAGCUAUGAAUCAACACAGCAGAUGGUGAUCCAUGCUGUGGAAGUCUCACAUCUCCUGAUUUAAUGGAGCUGCUUUGCACUUUUUACACUGUUUAUUCACCAACACUUUAUUUAAUAAAAGUCCCAUCUAGUUUUUAUGAGGACUGUGAGGUUUUAAUUUCUCUGUGAAUAACUGCAGUCUAAUGUAACAGCUGGAGUUGUAACAUCUGUCCUGAUAUUGAUCAUGAAGUAUUGAUCAGAAUACUUAUGGUUAGCAGUCAUCCCUGAAGUUUUACAUUAAAAUCUUUACUUGUGUUGUGAACUUUGGUAAGAAGCAGAAACUUUAGCGUUGCCAUGGAUACAUGAGUGUUAAAUUUUGUCCAUGUUUCCAUUUUGGGAAAUUCAGUCCAGCAGAUGAGUUUGUUUUUACUGCCAGCUACUAUUCAGUCUGGGAUAUUAAGAAUAAAUAAAUGUGCAUAAUGUGGAAAUGAACAUAUUUUAUUUUUAUUUAUUCCUACAGAAACAGUGUUCAUUUGAUGAACUUCAUUUCCUAAAACAUCCAGAAUUGGAGCUCAUAUCUUUGGCAGCUGUAAAGUUUCUGCUCCUUCAAAGUUCACAACACAAUGAAUGAAUUCCUAAAACACUCUCAAUGCUGGAGAGCGUUUGUGAUGCUGAAGCAGUGAUCAGUUUUUCUGUUUCUUCUCUGGAGAUGCACAAUGAGGGACAUCUGCAGAGACUGAGAAAGAGUCUCACCACAUCCUGACAUGAGGAAAAAGACUUUAUUGAAGACUACAAUGAGAAAAACUAUCAGACAGCAGACGGCUGCAUUCAAGGUGAGCUCUGAACAUUUGAUCUGGAACAGGAAUUCAAUAACGGCAGCAUGAGCUUCAUUUCAGUCUGUAGCUGCUGAAUUCAUGGAUGAAUCAUCUGGCACUAGAGAGGAAGACCAUCAAACAUCCACGUCAGCUGAUGGAGGUCCAAGAGUCUCACCAAACAAACAACCUACAGAGUGAAGACCUCGAAUCUGAUUGGACGGCCUCCUAUUCAGCCACGUGUGAACAAAUGCCUCUAAGUUGAUUUGUUUUCUAAAAUAAAUCUAGUUUGAGUCCUAA